CCUACGGGAGGCAGCAGUGGGGAAUCUUGCGCAAUGGGGUCAACCCUGCCGCAGCAACGCCGCGUGAGUGAAGACGUAUCUCGGUAUGUAAAGCUCUAUCAGCGGGGGAGAAGGAAGACGGUACCCGACUAAGAAGCCCCGGCUAACUACGUGCCAGCAGCCGCGGUAAUACGUAGGGGGCAAGCGUUAUCCGGAUUUACUGGGUGGAAAGGGAGCGUAGACGGCGUCGCAAGUCUGAAGUGAAAGCCCGUGGCUCAACCGCGGAACCGCUUUGGCAACUGCGUGGCUGGAGUGCUGGAGAGGUAAGCGGAAUUCCUGGUGUAGCGGUGAAAUGCGUAGAUAUCAGGAGGAACACCGGUGGCGAAGGCGGCUUACUGGACAGUGACUGACGUUGAGGCUCGAAAGCGUGGGGAGCGAACAGGAUGAGAUACCCUGGUAGUC
rnacentral:rRNA from 1 species